AAGGCAUGAGAGGGCACUUUCUAGAUAUCUCCUUGAAUCUCUCCCAACUCUCAUAAAUAAAUUAUUCUUCUAAUUGCUUAAAAUGAGUAAUAUCAUUUCUAAGUUU